AGCGGGGAAACAGCCGGGUGAGAGCAGGCAGAGGCACUCUGGGGCCUCUGGGGGAUCCUGUCUCUGCCCGCAGACACACCAUCCCUGCCUUGACCUCUUUCAGCCCAAGAGCCGGAUUGGUUUUUACAUUUUUAAAUAGUUGAACGGGAAGAACAUUUUGUGACUGUGAAGAUAAGAAAUUCAAAUCUCAGUGCCGGUAAGUCUGUUUUGUCACAAUACAUAUGUUCACCAGCUUGUUGUGGGGCAGUGAGAUGCCUGAAAUCGGUAGGAAAUGAAACACCAGCUCGGCUCUGGGUGAAGAGCGGGUGCCCACAGGCCCUUGGGCUGGGAGGGUCCUUGAAACCCUCUGGUCCAGCCUUAGUGCUGCCUGGCGCUCCUGUGUGCUGACCAGGUACAUGCAGGCAGAGGCAUCAGGAUCCGCACACACAGGCAAGUCCGAGCCCUGCCCCCCAUGUCUCCAAGCCAGGAACAGCCCACCCCCACCCUCUGGGAUGCUGGGCCUGGGUCGGGGUCACCCGGCUGAGUGCUGAGGGCUGGGGGACGUAGGGUCCUGCUCUCUGUCCACCUGCUCAGGCUGUCUUCCCACUCCCACUGCCUCCUGCACCUGUACUUGGGCACCGCGCCUGCUGUCGACCCCACAGGGGCUCUCUGCAUUCUCGCCCAGCUGUGCGGAGGCGGUUGCUCAGGCCCUGAGGUGUCCUUUUGCACCUGAGCUGAGGGGAGUGUUUCUGCCUCCAUCUCUCUCAUCCCACAUCCAUCCAUGAGAAACCCUCUAGCUACCUGCACUGCUCCCAAGCCUUAGGGGGCCUCCUCUGUGGAAAAGGGUCAAAGGCUAGGCCUGACUGCCCACCUGCAUCUGGGAGCUUGGAUUUGGGGAGGUCCCUGGCCUGAGCUGGUUGCAUAAGCAAGGGGGUCCCUGCUGACACCUGUCUUCUUCUGGGGUCUGGAAUCUCAGUGCGUGCCAGGCCAAGGUACCUACCCGGCCAGCCCCCAGUAAACUCCUAACAAGCUCUGCAGUGGAUGGCACCUCCUAUGUGUCAUCACAGUCGGUGCUGGCUCCACUGGGACAGGACCCCAGACUCAUGCUCUGUCUCCCUGAGACCCUCUGCCCCACAAGACUUUUCCCUUGGCAGAUUCUGCCCGUAUCCUGCUGGAAGAAAUCUCAGCAGUGAAUCAUUCCAGGGAAUUGCCAAACUUGGGUGGUCAUAGGGGGCCUGCUCUGCCCAUCUCCCUGUCCCUCCAUCUGGCCAGCUGUGUGGGCCAAGAAAGCCAGAGUGGCCCCAGUAACCCAAGCUGAUCUGCUGCCAUCCUGCUCGGCGCCUCCAGGGCUUGGCCUGCUCUUCCAGCGCUCCUCUCCUCCUCCCCCUACACCCUCCCUCACAUGCAUGGCCCACUCUCUCCCUGCUGAGCCCAGCCCUGCCUCACCCACCGCUGGCCCUUCAUUUGCAGGGUUCCUGCCUGAUGCUCUCUCCAGACCCUCCGCCUGCUCGCUGUGUCAGGCCUCUGCUCAGAGGUCAGAGGUUAAGGAGCCAGCCCCUCCCCCUUAGGCCUGACCCACCCACACUUAGACUUUCCCAGGGCCGAGCGCAGGCUCUCAGCAACACACACACACACGACCGAAGCCUGCGCACGGGCGCAGAAGGGCAGUGUGCUGGGAGAUGUGACGACCACGCUUUCAGACAGCCCUGCAGGCUCGUGAUGGGUCAGGCUGUCUGGCUCAUGGAACAUGCUUCCUGGCACCUCUGACUGAAGACCCAGGACUGUCCUGAGGGCCCCAGCAAGCCACCACUUGGCAGAGCUGUACUUGUGUGCAGGCUGGGGGACCACCCUUCCUUGACUUGGAAGGCUGUUGUGCCAAGGGUGGAGGAGCAGGGAUGGGGACCGGGAGGGGAGCCCAGCUGCCCCCCAGGGAGGAGAGGCAGUGCAGGCCUAGGCCAGCUGGGCCAGCUACGUCCAAGUCCCUCUGGAUAAAAGAAGUCCCUGUAAACCAAGGACUCCCCAAACCGGGAAGGUCGUCUCACACUCACUGGCUCAAGAAACGAGAAGUUUAAUUUUCCAUAAAUUUGCAUAAGCAUGUUCACAGCCAGUGGCUGCCAAGGUGGCCCAGUGGCCCUUGGGUAUUCUGACCCUGACCUUUGGGUGGUGCCGUCCCCUGGCCUGCUGAUGGGACCUCACCACAGUGUGAAGAAGCCUGGACAGGUGCUUUCCAGGGAAGGAGACUGCUCUCCGUCUGGAGGGUGUCUGGCCUUCUGAUCAGUGGCCAUGCCGUGAGGACUCCUGCUGGCUUGCAGAGGGUCCAUGUGCUGAGGAGCCUGGCGACAGCCACCCAAAUGGUGGCCUGGAAUCAGACUGCCCGGACAACCUUCAGGGAAGACCACCGCUGCCUCCACCAGGCUCUCACUGGGUCUCCUUUGCCUUCUGGUGCUCCCAGGUUGCACACAACACCAGCCUUAGCUGGGCCACCUCCCCCUCCAUCUGUCCCCUCCUGCUGCCCUGGACUGGGCAAAAACCGAGGGGAUGGGGUUGGUGGCCACCUAAGUGAGACAACCCAGGACCUGGGACCCUGUGCUGCAGCGCUUGCACCUGGAUAAAUGCCUCUUUGAGCAACAAAAUACGAAUAAACUAUAUGAAACUAAA